AGAACGAACGCUGGCGGCGUGGCUAAGACAUGCAAGUCGAACGGACUAUGCAAUUGAGUAAUCGAGCGUAUAGUUAGUGGCGAAAGGGUUAGUAAUGGUUAGGUAACGUACCCCGUACUCCGGGAUAGCGUCAGGUGCUUGCACCUUUCCGAAAGGGGCGGUAAUACCGGAUAAUGUCAUCUGUUGAUGGACAGGUGACCAAAGAUUUAUCGGUGUGGGAGCGGCCUAAUUCCUAUCAGCUUGUUGGUGAGGUAAGGGCUCACCAAGGCUAUGACGGGUAGCGGGACUGAGAGGUUGGCCCGCAACAUCGGGACUGAGACACUGCCCGGACCUCCACGGAGGGCUGCAGUAACGAAUAUUGCGCAAUGAGCGAAAGCUUGACGCAGCGACGCCGCGUGUAGGAUGAAGUCCUUCGGGAUGUAAACUACUGUCAGGGGAAAGAAAGUGCAUUUCGGUGCAUUGAUCUACCCCAGAGGAAGUCACGGCUAACUUCGUGCCAGCAGCCGCGGUAAGACGAAGGUGGCAAGCGUUGUUCGGUAUUACUGGGCUUAAAGCGUGUGUAGGCGGAAGAGUAAGCGUUUUGUGAAAUCCCUCGGCUUAACCGAGGAAUUGCUUAGCGAACUGCUUUUCUUGAGGCAAGUAGGGGUGCACGGAACUCUUGGUGGAGCGGUGGAAUGCGUAGAUAUCAAGAGGAACGCCAGUGGUGAAGACGGUGCACUGGGCUUGUUCUGACGUUGAGACACGAAAGCGUGGGGAGCAAACAGGAUUAGAUACCCUGGUAGUCCACGCUGUAAACGAUGCCUACUAGGUCGUGGAGGUUCUGACAUCGCCACGGCCGGAGCAAAAGUAUUAAGUAGGCCGCCUGGGGAGUACGGUCGCAAGGCUA
rnacentral:rRNA from 1 species